UUGCUUUGGCAGUAUGUAUACUAAAAUUGGAAUGAUAAAGAGAAGAUUAGCAUGGCCCCACACAAAGAUGACAUGCAAAUACACGAAGCUUUCGAUGAUUUU